GUCAGACUCUCGAUUUCUCCUCCUACUCCUCCUCCGAGGAAUUCUGCCCCUUGUAACUGUUCUGCCCUCCCCUUUAAAGGUUGACUUGCCCUACGGCGCUCCACCGCGCUCCAGUCCUCUUGCGCCUCCUGCUCAACCCGCUCCUGACUGCCCCACGCCGCGUAGUUCCAGCAGCAAAGCAGAAGGGUGCACCGGGAGAUGGAGAGCAAAGCCCUGCUCCUGGUGGUCCUGGGAGUUUGGCUCCAGAGUUUGACCGCCUUCCGAGGAGGGGUGGCCGCAGCAGACGGUACGUUUUUCGCGCCAACUCCCCCUACCCCCACCUGCAGACCCGGACAGGACCACUUUUUCUCCAUCUGAAGAUGGGAGGGAGAAAGUUGGAAGUACGUGCAUGCACUGGGACUCCCAGGCGCAGUAAAUUCCCGGGAAGGGUGGCUGGAAUGGAAUCCAGGAGGAGAAGGGAGAGACUCUGCCUCCCAUCACGCUACGGCGACUCUGGGUUCCCGCUUUUUUUUCCUUUCUCCUGAGUUCCCACUCGGUCUCCUGCUCUCUCCCGCCGACUGCCAUCGCAGGGAACGGCUGGGGCGUGGGGUGUGGAGCCUAGGAUGGGGAGACGCAGAGGCCGAGCAAAGCUGUAGUGACCGGUGGUGACCUCCCUAUAGGGAAUAGGGGUGCUGAAUGCAAGGCACGCGGGCCAAAGUGACCCUAACUUUGCUGGGACUGCGGGUCAGACCCCUCUAGAAGCGGGAAGAGUGAAUCGAGGGUGCAGGUGGGAGGACGCGUUGUGUGCAUUCCAACUGUACAGGGCGCUGUCGCUCUCGGCGGGGGGUUGUGAGCUACAGUGAAAGUGGGAGUGCGCGGUGGCGCCCGGGAACGCGUGGCGCAGAGUCCUGGAAGCUGGCGUCCUGCAAGCGUUCCUGUGCUCGGCUUAGCUCAGUACUCAAGAAAGCCCAGAAAUGAACCUACCCUCCAGAAAACGAGGUUCAGCCACCAGCCGACUGGAGCCUGUGGCUUGGAGGUUGCCAGUUCAGCUCUGUGUCCUUUCCUUGCUGUCCCAGGAGAGGCUCGCCCUAAGGGAGGCGCUCAGCUAGCUGAGAGCACAUGGGAUUCUCUAGAGCCUAAGGGAGAUCGCUUUCAACACUAGGUGAAAAAAAAAAAAAAAGCGGCCACCUCCACGGCUCUGCCUGCUCUCUGCCUAGAGAAGACUAGGGUCAGUAGCAAGUUGCUUUAUGGCCUUGAAGUCGAGACCUGCCCACAAUUGAGAAGCCUUGUAACUUGAACCUUGAUUGAGCUAACAGAACACAGACUCAAAAUGUGACUGAACUCAGUCGUAAAAGAAGGCUGGGGUUUCCUUGUGUUGCUGCUGGUGGAAUCGCCACGAGGGUGGUGUCCCCUGGAGGUGCUCUAAGGUGGCACAUCCGCAGCCUAAUUCCAGUCUUAGUGGAGUCUAUGACUGCAGCUAAAAGCUUGCCUUUAUUUCUGCGUAUAGUUGUAAAUGUCUUGUUAUCAAAGGAAAGAGAAUCCAUCAUGGCAGAACUGCACGAAAGAAACGAAUCCUGGGUGUUUUGAGGAUACUGGAGAUUCUGCCUCUCCGGUGGCAGGUUUGCAACUCUGGUUAAGAAAAUAGGAGCAAACUUUCGAUUCACAUUUCAGAAAGUAUACCAUAGUAGAACACGACUUUUACCGUAAACUCCCAUAGAAAAGGUCGCCUACAUUUUUAGGUUUUGCUAAAGGUUCCUUUAGAAGCUCUGGACCCAGCUUCUCAGUUACUUAGUGUCACCCUUCUGGGGUUAGCUGCAUGAGCUCUAACAUUAGGAAAGUUGGCAAGACUCACAGUGCCCUGGGGCUCCUCCCUUAUACUUGAUUUAAAGGGACACCUAAGUAACUACAUAAUAAUUUUGGAUUUUAGCCAUCACCUGAUUUUCCUAUCAAUAAAAUGUAUUUGGUGAAUAUUAUUCCUAAUCAGAUGUGAAAUGACUUCCUCUUAUCAUCUUUCUGUCCUCUCAGGGUAGCCCUUUACAGUGAGCUUCUUUAACCACAGCAGGCCUAGCCCUUUGUCCCACAAAUGAGUUUGCCUAGGGGUAAAAAUGUGGGUGAGAAAGGCACAGCUUGGAGCGAUCCCAGCUCCCCUCUGGGCUCCCAGUUUCCGUGUUCACUCUUUAUUUUUUUUUUUUUCCACGAAUAGUGUGCGAGUUUGAGAGGCAUUGCCCUGUGCUUCUUCCUGGAGCCCCUGCAGCCUCUCCUGGUCCCAGGCAGGAAAGCAGAGAGCUAAAAGAGAGCAUAGAGGGUCCUGCUCUGCCAAGUCCCGUUCCUUCAGCCACAGUGCUCACUUGAGGUUAAUAUCUGAGUUAAAUAACUGGGAGAUGACAAGGGAGUGACUGAUUAAUAGCGGCAUUGAAAGGUGUGGGGAGACAAGUGGGGGAAGAGUCGCAGUGGAAAGACGUUCAGUGCCUUUGACAGACUGUAUUUUUAGCACAGCCUCCCUUUCCUGCUGCGCUGUAGAGGAGACUUUAUACUCCUUGACUGACUGACUGUUUCUGUUCUGUCAGAUUGUCCAGUCAAGUCGAUGAAAACAUUUCAGGGGGUCUUGUCCCCUUUUCCUCUGACCAUAGCCUGUUUCCACAUUAUCAUCACCAAGGCUGCACUGUGUUGUGUGUGUGGCUCAUCUGAGGAAACCGUAUUGUGAUGGUGACUGAGUUCUUCUGAGUCUUCAGACACUUGGUGCCCCUCCUCUGAUGGCAUUCAUCUGUCUUUAGUGUCACUUCCGUGCUGCUACUUUUCUGACAGCACUACAGUCCCCUCUAUCUAACCCCACCCUCUCUAUGGUGAUCUGACUAAGCCUGAUUUCAUCCCUGUGACUAUUACCCAUAUCAGGAUAAAUUUUUCUUUGUUAUACACUAUAUUCAAGCUGUCUUUUUGGAAACAUAGGAAUAAAGAUUACACAGCAAAAGGAACAUAUUAUCUUCUAAUUUGCCUACCUAAACACAUCACCCCAGUGUGUAAUGAGGGUGUGUCUGGGUGGUCGCAGUUGUUAGGGUGGUAUUACUGUAGUGGGUCAAAUUCAGGAUGGAAGCAUUUGAAGGAUAGACCUUUGCCUCUCUCCUUCAUUCUUUCUCAUCUUCCUCACUUCCUCAGUCCUCUCCUGCUCUUCCUUCUUUCCCCUCUCUUGUCUUCUCCCCUUCUUUUUCCAAUGUGGACUUAAUAUUCCUAAGAAAAUAGCAAAAGGCAGCACAGUUGGAUGAAUGCAGAGUCACAGAUACAUUUCCGAGUUUCCUUAGCAACAGUCACCUCAGAUUAGUCAAGCUCACCUGACCCUCCAGUAGUCAACCCGGAGUGCACCUGGGUGAUGAUGAAAUCUACUUAUGGAAGCAUGCCUGGGGUUCAUCUUCUUCCCUGUCUCUACGUGCUCUUAUCAGUCGGUGCUGCAGGGACCACAGAGGUUGGGAAAUCUUUAGGAUACUGACACAUUCUUAAAGGCAAACACUAACUAGCAAUAUGAAAAAUUCCCCCUGCAUAGACUAAGCAGCAGAAAGAUCUGUGAGUCCAUAGCUAAUGUAAAAUUGAAACUACUGCCUAACUCAUUAAACAGCACCAUUUUAAUAUGAAAACUUCACUCACACACACACACAAAUACAUUAAAACUAAAAUGAAAUUUUCCAUGUGCCAAUCUAUGUGAUGGUGAAUGAAUUCCUGUCUCUCCUCAUCCAGCAGUGAGCCCAGUACACAUGCUGGAUGUAUGGCAUCCAACCUGAGCCCUGGAUAUGGAUCUCCACAUUAAACUGGAUUUUUUUUUUCUCAUGGAAACAUACAAAGUCAGCCUGAAUAAUUUCAGAGACUACCCAUGGCCAUUUCAAAGUCAGCAGGGCCACUAACUUACCCAAUUCUAGGGUAAAGGUGACCACACAAGAGAGUGACAUUUCUGGAGCUGUUGAAGGUAAUCUUAUGACGCAGCAAUGC
rnacentral:lncRNA from 1 species